ACCCUACACCCUAAACCCUAAACCCUACCCUAAACCCUAAACCCUAAACCCUAAACCCUAAACCCUAAACCCAAACCCUAAACCCAAACCCUAAAACCCUAAACCCUAAACCCUAAACCCUAAACCCUAAACCCAUUAGUGUAUAGGAUUUUCGCUUGAUUUCAAUCUAAAAACCCUUGCCAUAGCGCACGAUUUUUCUGGUCGAAAUUGAAUGUUCUUAUUUUUUAACCAAACUUUUUAUAUUAUCAAAUUAUCAUAUCUAAGUACAUCUCGAGCUGACGGAACACGAAAAUCUUAAUCCCAUUAGUGUAUACGAGUUGAGCUUGAUUUCGGCACAAAACGUCUUGCUAUAGCACACGGUUUUUCUGGUUAAAAUUGAAUGUUCUUAUUUUUGAACCAAACUUUUUCUUAUAUCAAAUCAUCAUUUCUAAGUAUCUCUCGAGCUGAUGGAACACGAAAAUCUUAAUCCCAAUAGUGUAUACGAGUUACGCUGUAUUUCGGCCCAAAACCCCUAUAGCCCACAUUUUUUCGGGUCAAAAUUGAAUGUUAUUAUUUUUUAACCAAACUUUUUCUAUUAUCACAUCGUCAUUUCUAAAUAUCUCUCGAGCGGACGGAACAUGAAAAUCUUAAUCUCAUUACUGUUUACGAGUUACGUUUGAUUUCGGCCCAAAACCCUUUGUUAUAGCACACGGUUUUUAUGGUCAAAAUUGAAUGUUCUUAUUUUUGAACAAAACUUUUUCUAUUAUCAAAUCAUCAUUUCUAAAUACCUCUCGAGCUGACGAAACACGAAAUCUUCAUCCCAUUAGUGUAUACGAGUUAUGCUUGAUUUCGGCUCAAAACCUCUUGCUAUAGCAAACAUUUUUCUGGUCAAAAUUGAGUGUCCUUAUUUUUGAACCAAACUUUUUCUAUUAUCAAAUCAUCAUUUCUAUAUACCUCUCGAGUUGA
rnacentral:lncRNA from 1 species